GAUGAACGCUGGCGGCGUGCUUAACACAUGCAAGUCGAACGGACGGAGGGAGCUUGCUCCCAAAGUUAGUGGCGGACGGGUGAGUAACGCGUGGGUAACCUACCCUAUGCAGGGGGAUAACAUUUGGAAACAGAUGCUAAUACCGCAUAACCUAAGAGUUUCGCAUGAAACACUUAGCCAAGAUUUAUCGGCAUAGGAUGGACCCGCGUUGGAUUAGAUAGUUGGUGAUAUAAUAGCCCACCAAGGCAACGAUCCAUAGCCGGCCUGAGAGGGUGAACGGCCACACUGGGACUGAGACACGGCCCAGACUCCUACGGGAGGCAGCAGUGGGGAAUAUUGCACAAUGGGCGCAAGCCUGAUGCAGCGACGCCGCGUGAAGGAUGAAUGUCUUCGGAUUGUAAACUUCUAUCAGCAGGGAAGAAUACCAUGACGGUACCUGACUAAGAAGCCCCGGCUAACUACGUGCCAGCAGCCGCAGUAACAC
rnacentral:rRNA from 1 species